rnacentral:misc_RNA from 1 species
AAGGAGCAUCUAGGCUGCCGGGCUUGCCCGGUGGUCCAGGGCCAUAACGCAGGCGAAUGUUCUGCGGUGGUUGCUCAUGGGUGGAACGUUGAUUAUUCGGCGUCUUGAGUCAUCUCAGGCUGUGAGUACUGUCCUUUCGGGGGCGUGGAAAGCUGAUCGGAGUGGUGAGGGAUGCCGGGCACGCUGUUGGGUGUCUGAGGGUAUGGCCGUAUGGCUGCCUUCAGUGCCGGCCCCAGUGCACUCGGACUUCUGGUUCGGGGUGAUGGGUGGUUGGUCGUUG